rnacentral:rRNA from 1 species
UACGUAGGGGGCGAGCGUUGUCCGGAUUUAUUGGGCGUAAAGAGCUCGUAGGCGGCUUAGCAAGUCGGGUGUGAAAACUCCAGCUCAACCUGGAGACGCCACUCGAGACUGCUAUGCUAGAGUCCGGUAGGGGACCACGGAAUUCCUGGUGUAGCGGUGAAAUGCGCAGAUAUCAGGAGGAACACCGGUGGCGAAGGCGGAUCUCUGGGCCGAUACUGACGCUGAGGAGCGAAAGCGUGGGGAGCGAACAGG